AUUGAACGCUGGCGGAAUGCUUUACACAUGCAAGUCGAGCGGCAGCGCGGCCUUCGGGCUGGCGGCGAGCGGCGAACGGGUGAGUAAUGCAUCGGAACAUGCCCAGUCGUGGGGGAUAACACUUCGAAAGAAGUGCUAAUACCGCAUACGUCCUGAGGGGGAAAGCGGGGGAUCGCAAGACCUCGCGCGAUUGGAGUGGCCGAUGUCAGAUUAGCUAGUUGGUGGGGUAAAGGCCUACCAAGGCGACGAUCUGUAGCUGGUCUGAGAGGAAGAGCAGCCACACUGGGAAUGAGACACGGCCCAGACUCCUACGGGAGGCAGCAGUGGGGAAUUUUGGACAAUGGGGGCAACCCUGAUCCAGCCAUUCCGCGUGAGUGAAGAAGGCCUUCGGGUUGUAAAGCUCUUUCGGCAGGAACGAAACGGUGGGCUCUAACAUAGUCCGCUAAUGACGGUACCUGAAGAAGAAGCACCGGCUAACUACGUG
rnacentral:rRNA from 1 species